rnacentral:lncRNA from 1 species
GUGUAUGAAUAUACUGAAAUAUUUUUAGAAACGUAUUGAUUUUCAUGUAUGUGUGUGCGUAGACGUAAUACACACAGAUACACACUCACAUAUCUGAGUCAAGUGAUCAUGGCCCCUGGGAUAAACCUACCCGUAUUAACUACCACAAAUGAUUAGAUUACCUGUUUACGUGUUUGUUUCAGACUUGGUCCCUGGGUGUGGUUGCUGCAUCUUGCUCAUCUCCCCAUGGCUAAUGCUUAACACAAAUCCUGGACUGUGCAGCAUAACCACACCCACGCUGAUGACGCACUAGUGACAGACUGGUACCUCCACUAGGAGCAAGGUCCAAAGUUGCAUCUGAGCUCGCUGGAAACUUUUCUACACACUGACAGGAG